rnacentral:ncRNA from 1 species
AAACAACCAUAUUACGGCGGUUAUACAUAGCAAUAUGUGUAAAGAAGCUGACUAAUAUCGGUAAAACCCGACUAUACAAUAUAAGGGUAAUACCGAGGGAAGUUUGUGAAUUUUGUUGAGGAGGGUGAAAGGUGAAAUUGGGGAUUAGCCGGCAGGCGGCUCCCAACACCGUCCAUUUUGAAAGCCUCAUGGCUUGAAAAAGACUUGGGACGCUCGCGCGUCGCACUGACUACAUAUCAGAUCUUUUUCCCUAAUGGAGAUUUCCUUCCUCUUCUCUAUAAAAUUCAUAAACACCCGUAGAGACUAAAUGUUAGCCAUCCUUAAUUUUUAAGGAUGAAGUUAUAGUCCAAUCCACUUAGUAAUAAGUGA